CGAGAAUCGCGGUUGCUGGGAGCGCGCUCUGGCGGUGCCGCCUAGUCCGGGGAGACUUAGCUGCCGCGCUCCGGUCGCCUCAGGCUUGGGCUUCCUCGGGUGUUCCUGGCGGCCGACCUCCAAGUUACCCUCAAUCCCCUCUCCCUGGUCUCCAGAUAGGCUGGGGUUUCGUAACACCACUGCCGUUACUCCCAAACACUGGUAGAGCCAUUUGCACCAAAUAAGAAAACAGCCACAAGAAUAAUUCACUACUGGGAGAGAAAUAGCGCAGUCGUGCUCGAAGGAUCGCUAACAUCUGUCUGGAACAUCCCAUCUUAUAAUGGUGACUUCUAUUGCCUGAAAGCCACUGGAAAACCCAAGGACAGGAGAGCUGAGUGGUGCAAAAUUAGAGGUGAGCUUCCCAGCGACAGAGUAGAGCAGAAAAGACCAGAAAACGGAUUCAGGGCUGUGUUAACCAAUAAAGCCGCCACUGGACAAACA